rnacentral:rRNA from 1 species
UACGGGGGGGGCAAGCGUUGUUCGGAAUUACUGGGCGUAAAGGGCGCGUAGGCGGCCUGCUAAGUCGGAUGUGAAAUCCCUCGGCUCAACCGAGGAACUGCAUCCGAUACUGGCGGGCUUGAAUCCGGGAGAGGGAUGUGGAAUUCCAGGUGUAGCGGUGAAAUGCGUAGAUAUCUGGAGGAACACCGGUGGCGAAGGCGGCAUCCUGGACCGGUAUUGACACUGAAAAGCGAAAGCCAGGGGAGCAAACGGG